UACAUGGGGUGCAAACGUUGCUCGGAAUUAUUGGGCGUAAAGCGCGCGUAGGCGGUUACUUAAGUCGGAUGUGAAAGCCCUCGGCUUAACUGAGGAAGUGCACCCGAAACUGAGUAGCUAGAGUACGAAAGAGGGUCGCGGAAUUCCCGGUGUAGAGGUGAAAUUCGUAGAUAUCGGGAGGAACACCAGUGGCGAAGGCGGCUAUCUGGCCUGAUUCUGACGCUGAGGAGCGAAAGCCAGGGGAGCGAACGGG
rnacentral:rRNA from 1 species